rnacentral:rRNA from 1 species
AGUGAACGCUGGCGGUAGGCCUAACACAUGCAAGUCGAACGGCAGCACAGUAAUAGCUUGCUCUUACGGGUGGCGAGUGGCGGACGGGAGAGGAAUACAUCGGAAUCUACUUUUUCGUGGGGGUUAACGUAGGGAAACUUACGCUAAUAUCGCAUACGCUCUACGGGUGAAAGGAUGGGAUCUUCUGACCUUGCGCGGUUGAAUGAGCCGAUGUCGGAUUAGCUAGUUGGCGGGGUAAAGGCCCACCAAGGCGGCGAUCCGUAGCUGGUCUGAGAGGAGGGUCGGCGGCAUUGGAAGGGGAACACGGUCCAGGCGCCUACGGGAGGCAGCAGUGGGGAAUGUUGGACAGAGGGCGCAAGCCUGAUCCAGCCAGACCACGUGGGUGAAGGAGGCCUUCGGGUUGUGAAGCCCUUUUGUUGGGAGAGAAAAGCAGCAGGUUAAUACCCCGCUGGUCUGACGGUACCCAAAGAAUAAGCACCGGCUAACUUCGUG